UUUGUAUAAUGGGUCAGCGACUUAUAUUCAGUGGCAAGGUUAACCAUCUAGGGGAGCCGUAGGGAAACCGAGUCUUAACUGGGCGUUCAGUCUCUGGAUAUAGACCCGAAACCAGGUGAUCUAGCCAUGGGCAGGUUGAAGGUUGAGUAACAUCAACUGGAGGACCGAACCGACUAAUGUUGAAAAAUUAGCGGAUGACUUGUGGCUAGGGGUGAAAGGCCAAUCAAACCUGGAGAUAGCUGGUUCUCCCCGAAAGCUAUUUAGGUAGCGCCUCGGACGAAUACUACUGGGGGUAGAGCACUGUUAAGGCUAGGGGGUCAUCCCGACUUACCAACCCUUUGCAAACUCCGAAUACCAGUAAGUACUAUCCGGGAGACACACGGCGGGUGCUAACGUCCGUCGUGGAGAGGGAAACAACCCAGACCGCCAGCUAAGGUCCCAAAUUACUACUAAGUGGGAAACGAUGUGGGAAGGCUCAGACAGCCAGGAUGUUGGCUUAGAAGCAGCCAUCAUUUAAAGAAAGCGUAAUAGCUCACUGGUCGAGUCGGCCUGCGCGGAAGAUGUAACGGGGCUAAGUAGUAAACCGAAGCUGCGGCAAUAUACUUUUGUAUAUUGGGUAGGGGAGCGUUCUGUAAGCGGUUGAAGGUGUGUGGUAACGCAUGCUGGACGUAUCAGAAGUGCGAAUGCUGACAUGAGUAACGAUAAAGGGGGUGAAAAACCUCCUCGCCGGAAGACCAAGGGUUCCUGUCCAACGUUAAUCGGGGCAGGGUAAGUCGACCCCUAAGGCGAGGCCGAAAGGCGUAGUCGAUGGGAAACGGGUUAAUAUUCCCGUACUUCUUACAAUUGCGAUGGGGGGACGGAGAAGGCUAGGUGGGCCUGGCGACGGUUGUCCAGGUUCAAGUGCGUAGGCUUAAGAGUUAGGUAAAUCCGGCUCUUUUUAAGGCUGAGACACGACGUCGAGCACCUACGGGUGUGAAGUCAUUGAUGCCAUGCUUCCAGGAAAAGCCUCUAAGCUUCAGAUUGUAAGGAAUCGUACCCCAAACCGACACAGGUGGUCGGGUAGAGAAUACCAAGGCGCUUGAGAGAACUCGGGUGAAGGAACUAGGCAAAAUGGUACCGUAACUUCGGGAGAAGGUACGCUCUUGAUGGUGAAGUCCCUUGCGGAUGGAGCUGA
rnacentral:rRNA from 1 species